rnacentral:rRNA from 1 species
AGAGUUUGAUCAUGGCUCAGGAUGAACGCUGGCGGCGUGCCUAACACAUGCAAGUCGAACGGGAACAUGACGCUACGGAGAUUUCGGUCAAUGUUGUUGUGUUUAGUGGCGGACGGGUGAGUAACGCGUGGAUAACCUGCCUUAUACCGGGGGAUAACAGUUAGAAAUGACUGCUAAUACCGCAUAAGCGCACAGUCUCGCAUGGGACAGUGUAGAAAAACUCAGGUGAUAUAAGAUGGAUCCGCGUCUGAUUAGUUAGUUGGCGGGGUAACGGCCCACCAAGACCGCGAUCAGUAGCCGGCCUGAGAGGGUGAACGGCCACAUUGGGACUGAGACACGGCCCAAACUCCUACGGGAGGCAGCAGGUGGGGAUAUUGCACAAUGGGGGAAACCCUGAUGCAAGCGACGCCGCGUGAGUGAAGAAGUAUUUAGGUAUGUAAAGCUCUAUCAGCAGGGAAGAAAAUGACGGUACCUGACUAAGAAGCACCGGCUAAAUACGUGCCAGCAGCCGC